rnacentral:sRNA from 1 species
UGCGGGUCAGUUGGUCUGUUUUUCGACUUUGAUAAGCAAUUGAGAUAAUUAAAUCAGCGUGGGAUAUGUAAAAUGUAUAUUACCUGGGUGCCAGCCAGUGCCGCAGUGACGUCACCGGCUGUCAACGCCAAGGUCGCUAGUUUGUCAAUAAAAUAAUCGCAACUUUGUCAAAGUUUAA